CCAAGUUUACAUUUCCAGUGACUGAGGAUGACCAAAAUAAAAGACAUGAAUGGAAUCAGUUGGUCUUGAAGUUCUGAACGGAACUCUGGUACAAAGUUAUUUUGGAGUCAGAACCAACAGAUCUCUAAUAUUCCUUGGGUCUGAAAAUUGCAGCAACUGGUGAGACAGAAGGUCUCAUGGCAGAAUGGAAGACUUUACUGCAGCCAAAUCUUUGGAUAUUGGGCCCAUCUAUUUCUUUGAUCAGAUGAAACCAAAAA